UAGAGUUUGAUCAUGGCUCAGAAUGAACGCUGGCGGCGUGCUUUACACAUGCAAGUCGAGCGAGGCCGGGUAGCAAUACCCGAGUCGAGCGGCGAACGGGUGAGUAACGCGUGGAUACCUGCCUUCGGGUGGGGGAUAACCCGGGGAAACUCGGGCUAAUACCGCAUAUGACCGCGAGGUCAAAGGGGGCCGCAAGGCUCUCGCCGGAAGAGGGGUCCGCGUCCGAUUAGCUAGUUGGUGAGGUAAUGGCUCACCAAGGCGACGAUCGGUAGCCGGCCUGAGAGGGUGAUCGGCCACACUGGAACUGAGACACGGUCCAGACUCCUACGGGAGGCAGCAGUGGGGAAUUUUGCGCAAUGGGGGAAACCCUGACGCAGCAACGCCGCGUGGAGGAUGAAGGUCUUCGGAUUGUAAACUCCUGUCAGUGGGGAAAAAGGGGCGCGGGCUCAUACCCCGUGUCAUUGAUUGUACCCGCAGAGGAAGCCCCGGCUAACUCUGUGCCAGCAGCCGCGGUAAUACAGAGGGGGCAAGCGUUAUUCGGAAUUAUUGGGCGUAAAGGGCGCGUAGGCGGCCUUUCAAGUGGGAGGUGAAAUCCCUCGGCUUAACCGAGGAGCUGCCUCCCAAACUGAAGGGCUUGAGUCCGGGAGAGGUGAGUGGAAUUCCCAGUGUAGCGGUGAAAUGCGUAGAUAUUGGGAGGAACACCAGUGGCGAAGGCGGCUCACUGGACCGGCACUGACGCUGAGGCGCGAAAGCGUGGGGAGCAAACGGGAUU
rnacentral:rRNA from 1 species